rnacentral:rRNA from 1 species
GACGAACGCUGGCGGCGUGCUUAACACAUGCAAGUCGAACGGAGUGGCGAACGGGUGAGUAACACGUGGGUGAUAUUCCUUGCACUUCGGGCUAAGCUUGGGAAACUGGGUCUAAUACCGGCUAUUGCAAGAUGAGCUCGCGGCGUAUCAGCUUGUUGGUGGGGUAAUGGCAUACCAAGGCGUCGACGGGUCGCCGGCCUGAGAGGGUGUACGGCCACAGUGGGACUGAGAUACGGCCCAGACGCCUACGGGAGGCAGCAGGUGGGAAUAUUGCACAAUGGGCGGAAGUCUGAUGCAGCGACGCCGCGUGGGGGAUGAAGGCCUUCGGGUUGUAAACUCCUUGCGACAGGGACGCGUUACCUGUAUAAGAAGCACCGGCUAACUACGUGCCAGCAGCCGCGGUAAUAC